rnacentral:lncRNA from 1 species
GGAGGGUGCAAUUUAAGAUACCUAGUAUUGAGAAAUAGGACUAAGGCCAAGCUUCUUUAAUUUAAUUUUUUAAAUUAUAAUGAUAUUUAUGAAAUUUUGAGUAUAGUAUUAUUUAUUCCUUUUUGCAUAUAAAGAAAUAUUUAAUCUUAUAUAGUGUGAUUUUUUUUUCUUUUCAUUUUUUUGCAGUUAAAUCGUCUAUGCUUUUU